AAUCAUCAAGCCCCUCGGCGCUCGUCGCCGGAGGGCUUGGACUUGGGGGUUUUCGUUGCUGACGCUUCGGCGCCGGCUCCCCUUAAAUGAAUCGGUCGGGCUCAUCGUGUGCCGGUCCACGGGCGUUGUAUCACCCUCGUCCUGGGAUGGCGCUCGACUCGAAGGCCCUUCCUCGACCUGCCUCUGGAGUGGCGGUCAAAAGGCGCUUUUGCCACUUUUGUGAU
rnacentral:misc_RNA from 1 species